rnacentral:rRNA from 1 species
CAGUCGCCGCGGUAAUACGUAGGGUGCGAGCGUUAAUCGGAAUUACUGGGCGUAAAGCGUGCGCAGGCGGCUUUGCAAGACAGAUGUGAAAUCCCCGGGCUCAACCUGGGAACUGCAUUUGUGACUGCAAGGCUAGAGUGCGGCAGAGGGAGAUGGAAUUCCGCGUGUAGCAGUGAAAUGCGUUGAGAUCGGAAAGAACACCAACGGCGAAAGCACUCCGCUGGGCCGACACUGACACUGAGAGACGAAAGCUAGGGGAGCAAAUGGGAUUAGAUACCCCUGUAGUCCCUGUCUCUUAUAC